CCUAGUAGGAGGAUGCCUGCGCAGCGCAUCUGGUCGCCGGUACGCCUCCGAGGACCAGGCUACCCAACUCCCGCUCUACGCACGGCUACCAUCAGGCGCCUGCACAGCCCAGUCUGCCCUGUACGAACACCCCGCUCGUACAGGGCUACUAGUUCCAUCCAGCCAAGGCGGGUUGUGCAGGAGGUAAGAUCUAGACCGGCUGUGCGCCUCCAUAGCCCUGGGUUUCCAGCUUCUGUCUCUCGUGCGGACCCGGAAGUGCGUCAACCUAGUCCGACUCGUCCUGUUCCCGCUCCCCGCACUAGCCUGCAAGUGCGUAAACCCAGCCUCGCCAGUCAACAGUCGUCAGAGCUGCCCGCCAGUCAACAGUCGUCGGAGCUGCCCGCCAGUCAACAGUCGUCGGAGCUGCCCGCCAGUCAACAGUCGUCGGAGCUGCCCGCCAGUCAACAUUCGUCGGAGCUGCCCGCCAGUCAACAGUCGUCGGAGCUGCCCGCCAGUCAACAGUCGUCGGAGCUGCCCGCCAGUCAACAGUCGUCGGAGCUGCCCUCCAGUCAACAGUCGUCGGAGCUGCCCUCCAGUCAACAGUCGUCGGAGCUGCCCGCCAGUCAACAGUCGUCGGAGUGGCCAGACUGCGCUGAACUGCCGGAGUGGCCAGACUGCGCUGAACUGCCGGAGUGGCCAGACUGCGCUGAACUGCCGGAGUGGCCAGACUGCCCUGAACUGCCGGAGUGGCCAGACUGCCCAGACUGUCCCGAGCUGCCCGCCAGUCAACAGUCGUCGGAGUGGCCAGACUGCGCUGAACUGCCGGAGUGGCCAGACUGCGCUGAACUGCCGGAGUGGCCAGACUGCGCUGAACUGCCGGAGUGGCCAGACUGCGCUGAACUGCCGGAGUGGCCAGACUGCCCUGAACUGCCGGAGUGGCCAGACUGCGCUGAACUGCCGGAGUGGCCAGACUGCGCUGAACUGCCGGAGUGGCCAGACUGCGCUGAACUGCCGGAGUGGCCAGACUGCGCUGAACUGCCGGAGUGGCCAGACUGCGCUGAACUGCCGGAGUGGCCAGACUGCCCAGACUGUCCCGAGCUGCCAGACUGCCCAGACUGUCCCGAGCUGCCAGACUGCCCAGACUGUCCCGAGCUGCCAGACUGC
rnacentral:lncRNA from 1 species